rnacentral:rRNA from 1 species
UACGUAGGCACCAAGCGUUGUCCGGAUUUAUUGGGCGUAAAGAGCUCGUAGGCGGUUCGGUAAGUCGGGGUGUGAAAACUCUGGGCUCAACCCAGAGCCGCCACCCGAUACUGCUGUGACUCGAGUGCGGUAGGGGGAGCGGGGGAAUUUCCUGGUGUAGCGGUGAAAAUGCGCAGAUAUCAGGAGGAACACCAGCGGCGAAAGGCGCCCGCUCUGGGGCCGUGACUACGUGAGGAGCGAAAAGCAUGGGGGAGCGAACAGGG